GGAGCUCUACCAUAUGGUCGACCUGCAGGCGGCCGCGAAUUCACUAGUGAUUCGUAUUACCGCGGCUGCUGGCACAGAGUUAGCCGGUGCUUAUUCUGUCGGUAACGUCAAAACAGCAAGGUAUUCGCUUACUGCCCUUCCUCCCAACUUAAAGUGCUUUACAAUCCGAAGACCUUCUUCACACACGCGGCAUGGCUGGAUCAGGCUUUCGCCCAUUGUCCAAUAUUCCCCACUGCUGCCUCCCGUAGGAGUCUGGACCGUGUCUCAGUUCCAGUGUGACUGAUCAUCCUCUCAGACCAGUUACGGAUCGUCGCCUUGGUGAGCCAUUACCUCACCAACUAGCUAAUCCGACCUAGGCUCAUCUGAUAGCGCAAGGCCCGAAGGUCCCCUGCUUUCUCCCGUAGGACGUAUGCGGUAUUAGCGUUCCUUUCGAAACGUUGUCCCCCACUACCAGGCAGAUUCCUAGGCAUUACUCACCCGUCCGCCGCUGAAUCGAAGAGCAAGCUCUUCUCAUCCGCUCGACUUGCAUGUGUUAGGCCUGCCGCCAGCGUUCAAUCUGAGCCAGGAUCAAACUCUAAUCGAAUUCCCGCGGCCG
rnacentral:rRNA from 1 species